AUGAAGCCACCCCCCAGAGCCCCUUCCCGGGCUCCUCUGCUCCCGCUGCUGGCGGACGCGCAGCUGAGCGAGGCCGGAGGGGGCCUCCAGCCACCCGGCGGGAGCCUCCGCCUCUCCUGCAAGGCCUCCGGGUUCACCUUCAGCAGCUUCAGCAUGGAAUGGGUCCGGCAGGCACCCGGCAAGGGGCUCGAGUGGGUCGCUGCUAUUACCAGCAGUGGUAGCACCUGGUACGCGUCUGCGGUGCAAGGGCGCUUCACCAUCUCCCGGGACAACGCGCAGAGCACGCUCUACCUGCAGAUGAACAGCCUCAAGGCCGAGGACACCGGCACCUACUACUGCGCGAAAGCUGCUGGUAGUGGUUGUUGUUGUGAUGAUGAUGGUCAGCAACAUGCUGUGGCCCGAGCCUGCAUGGGGUGCACCCACGAGUGGCUGGCGGCGUUGCUAG